rnacentral:rRNA from 1 species
CCUACGGGAGGCAGCAGUGGGGAAUAUUGGACAAUGGAGGAAACUCUGAUCCAGCAAUUCUGUGUGUGUGAAGAAGGUCUUCGGAUUGUAAAACACUUUUAGUUGGGAAGAAACAAAUGACGGUACCAACAGAAGAAGCGACGGCUAAAUACGUGCCAGCAGCCGCGGUAAUACGUAUGUCGCAAGCGUUAUCCGGAAUUAUUGGGCUUAAAGGGCAUCUAGGCGGUAUAACAAGUUGAAGGUGAAAAGCUGUAGCUCAACUAUAGUCUUGCCUACAAAACUGUAAUACUAGAGUACUGGAAAGGUGGGUGGAACUACACGAGUAGAGGUGAAAUUCGUAGAUAUGUGUAGGAAUGCCGAUGAUGAAGAUAACUCACUGGACAGAAACUGACGCUGAAGUGCGAAAGCUAGGGGAGCAAACAGGAUUAGAUACCCGUGUAGUC